GGGGGGAGGCCGGAUCCUGGGCUGUGUCCCGGGCUCCCAAUGCUCCCGGUCUGCGCUGUUGGAUUCGCGCUCCUGCCCCGCAGCCCCCU
rnacentral:pre_miRNA from 1 species